rnacentral:pre_miRNA from 1 species
UUCCUCGUCUUAAUUAGAACUCAUACUAGACAAACUAGUGGAUCCUUAUCUAAUCCUCUAGUAUGAGUUCUAAUUAAGAGGUGGAAA